rnacentral:piRNA from 1 species
UGUGGCUGUGUCUAGUACAACUUUUA